rnacentral:misc_RNA from 1 species
GAUGAAGAACGCAGCGAAAUGCGAUAAGUAAUGUGAAUUGCAGAAUUCAGUGAAUCAUCGAAUCUUUGAACGCACAUUGCGCCCCCUGGUAUUCCGGGGGGCAUGCCUGUCCGAGCGUCAUUACAACCCUCAAGCUCAGCUUGGUGUUGGGCCCCGCCGCCCCGGCGGGCCCUAAAGUCAGUGGCGGUGCCGUCCGGCUCCGAGCGUAGUAAUUCUUCUCGCUCUGGAGGUCCGGUCGUGUGCUCGCCAGCAACCCCCAAUUUUUUUCAGGUUGACCUCGGAUCAGGUAGGGAUACCCGCUGAACUUAAGCAUAUCAAUAACGGAGGA